rnacentral:rRNA from 1 species
GACGAACGCUGGCGGCGUGCCUAAUACUUGCAAGUAGAACGCUGAAGGAGGAGCUUGCUUCUCUGGAUGAGUUGCGAACGGGUGAGUAACGCGUAGGUAACCUGCCUGGUAGCGGGGGAUAACUAUUGGAAACGAUAGCUAAUACCGCAUAAUAGUAGAUGUUGCAUGACAUUUGCUUAAAAGGUGCAAUUGCAUCACUACCAGAUGGACCUGCGUUGUAUUAGCUAGUUGGUGAGGUAACGGCUCACCAAGGCAACGAUACAUAGCCGACCUGAGAGGGUGAUCGGCCACACUGGGACUGAGACACGGCCCAGACUCCUACGGGAGGCAGCAGUAGGGAAUCUUCGGCAAUGGACGGAAGUCUGACCGAGCAACGCCGCGUGAGUGAAGAAGGUUUUCGGAUCGUAAAGCUCUGUUGUAAGAGAAGAACGAGUGUGAGAGUGGAAAGUUCACACUGUGACGGUAUCUUACCAGAAAGGGACGGCUAACUACGUG